rnacentral:rRNA from 1 species
AUUGAACGCUGGCGGCGUGCCUAACACAUGCAAGUCGAGCGGCAGCGCGGUAGCAAUACUGGCGGCGAGCGGCGGACGGGUGAGCAAUGCUUGGGAAUCUGCCUAUCAGUGGGGGACAACCCGGGGAAACUCGGGCUAAUACCGCAUACGUUCUUCGGAAGAAAGCAGGGGAUCGCAAGACCUUGCGCUGAUAGAUGAGCCCAAGUCGGAUUAGCUAGUUGGCGGGGUAAAGGCCCACCAAGGCGACGAUCGAUAGCUGGUCUGAGAGGAUGAUCAGCCACACUGGAACUGAGACACGGUCCAGACUCCUACGGGAGGCAGCAGUAGGGAAUAUUGGACAAUGGGGGCAACCCUGAUCCAGCCAUGCCGCGUGUGUGAAGAAGG